rnacentral:rRNA from 1 species
UACGGAGGGUGCAAACGUUGCUCGGAAUCAUUGGGCGUAAAGCGCACGUAGGCGGUUCGUUAUGUCGGAUGUGAAAUCCCUCGGCUCAACCGAGGAAGGGCAUCCGAAACUGGCGUGCUUGAGUAUGGAAGAGGGUCUCGGAAUUCCCGGUGUAGAGGUGAAAUUCGUAGAUAUCGGGAGGAACACCGGUGGCGAAGGCGACAUCCUGGACCGGUAUUGACGCUGAGGCGCGAAAGCCAGGGGAACAAACGGG